GAUGAACGCUGGCGGAGUGCCUAAUACAUUCAGGUCGAGCGCAGCGGGGACGGGUGAGUAACACGUGGAUAACCUCCUAUAAGACUGGGAUAACUUCAGGGACCCGGAGCUAUACCCGAUAAUUAUAGAUGGAUCCGCGCUGCAUUAUCUAUUUGGUAAGUUAACGGGUUACCAAGGCAACGAUGCAUAGCCGACCUGAGAGGUUGAUCGGCCACACGGGAACGGAGACACGGUCCAGACUCCUACGGGAGGCAGCAGUAGGGAAUCUUCCGCAAUGGGCGAAAGCCUGACGGAGCAACGCCGCGUGAGUGAUGAAGGUCUUCGGAGCGUAAAACUCUGUUAUGAGGGAAGCGGUACCUAAUCAGAAAGCCACUGCUAACUACGUGCCAGCAGCCGCGGUAAUUC
rnacentral:rRNA from 1 species